rnacentral:lncRNA from 1 species
AUAUCAGUAUCAGACUUUAGUUUAGGGGGUCUCCCUCUGCCUCGAGGCUUAGAUGAUGGCUGUUGCUCAUCUUGAUGCUGAGGAUCUUUGUUCAAAGGUGCUUUUGGUUUAGGAGAUCUUUCCAUGCUAGAAAGGUCAAGCUGCUGCUCUGGAUCUUUGUGCCAUUCAAGAAAAGCAGGUGAUUCAACAGAAUGUAACUUGGCUUCCAUUUGUUGAUUAGAGAGAAUCAUAUCAGUAUCAGACUUUAGUUUUCGGGGUCUCCCUCUGCCUCGAGGCUUAGAUGAUGGCUGUUGCUCAUCUUGAUGCUGAGGAUCUUUGUUCACAGGUGCUUUUGGUUUAGGAGAUCUUUCCAUGCUAGAAAGGUCAAGCUGCUGCUCUGGAUCUUUGUGCCAUUCAAGAAAAGCAGGUGAUUCAACAUAAUGUAACUUGGCUUCCAUUUGUUGAUUAGAGAUAAUCAUAUCAGUAUCAGACUUUAGUUUACGGGGUCUCCCUCUGCCUCGAGGCUUAGAUGAUGGCUGUUGCUCAGGAUCUUUGUUCACAGGUGCUUUUGGUUUAGGAGAUCUUUCCAUGCUAGAAAGGUCAAGCUGCUGCUCUGGAUCUUUGUGCCAUUCAAGAAAAGCAGGUGAUUCAACAGAAUGUAAUUUGGCUUUCAUUUGUUGAUUAGAGAGAAUCAUAUCAGUACUAGACUUUAGUUUACGGGGUCUUCCUCUGCCUCGAGGCUUAGAUGAUGGCUGUUGCUCAUCUUGAUGCUGAGGAUCUUUGUUCACAGGUGCUUUUGGUUUAGGAGAUCUUUCCAUGCUAGAAAGGUCAAGCUGCUGCUCUGAAUCUUUGUGCCAUUCAAGAAAAGAAGGUGAUUCAACAGAAUGUAAUUUGGCUUCCAUUUGUUGAUUAGAGAGAAUCUGUGGGUGAGGAUGCUGCUCUGACAAUAGAUCACAAAUAAGUUCCUUCUGUUCACAAGGGCUUGUAAUAUUCAGUUGCUUUUCCUCUUCCACCACACCCAAGUUAUGGGUAACAAUGGCUUGAACAUCGUCUUGCUUGUUAAAUCCCACCUGGACGCCUCUGUUUUCUCAACAAAAGUGGACACAUUUAAGCUGUAUCACUAGUAUAGUAUCGUAACAUCAAUAUUUAAAAAAAAAAAAAUCAAAAAACCAAGUCAGUUUGAUUUCCUUCUCCUCAGACUUUCCCAUUUUCACUACAUGGUUACACCCUGGCUUUCUUCUGAUGAUAAUUGAGUAACAUACAUACACAUAAGAUCAGUAAAUGUGAGAAGGGCUGUUUACCUCUCCAAUGUGGUCAUCUGAUCCUUUUGCCGCUUCAGUUCCAUAGCUUGGAGAGUAUCCUGACACCAUGGCUAUCAUUUAUAAUUUAUUCAUAUCUAAGAAAACAACCAUGCAAAAUUGAUUGUUUAUACAUCUUCCAACACAAGAUGGACCCUAGAUUCUGCAGUAACUUGCUGUUUAUGUGCACUAAUGCAAAAAUGGAACAAGGAAAAACAUGUUUGAAUCUAUUUGCUAUCAAGUGCAUUAAAAUCUUAUGCUCAUAUCCUCCUUCCAUCCCAUGCAAGCUUACUAUUCUUUUUUCUUUUCCUUUUUUGGUUCAAGAAAGAAUAAAGGAGAAGGGAAAAAAAAAAUUGACUACAUGCAACAUAGCACCAAAAAGAAAGAAAGAAAAAAGCUGAUAUAGCUUGACUAAAAUAUUUGAUGGCAAGCAAGUAUAUAACAAACGUGGUAAUAUAUAAUUAUAUAUAGUUCAUAAUAUAUUUAUCUAAAAUUCUUUAUAAUUUACUACUACAAAAUUAAAUAAAAAAAUACAUAAAAUAAAUAGUCACAUAGGUUUUAUUUAAAGUAAUGCUCUUCGUUGUAUUAGAGACUUGAAGUCUUGAUAAUUAAAUUAGAACUAAAAUUUUUAGCAAUUUCCAGCCACCUUACUGUCUGCAAGAAAUUCAACUUCCAUUUUAUUGCCUAAUCUAGUUUUGAAAUGAUCCACCAGUUGUGUCCGUAAAAAUUGGAAAUCCAUAAGAUGGUGGCAUCAAAAGUUGAGGAUUAACACUUUUUUAUUAAUAAACUAUGCAAUAAUGAUGCUCACCUCUAAUACUUCAAUUUGUUGCUUUUCUGCUUGACCUUGUUUCUUCUUCCUCUUCGUCACUCUGACUUUUUUCCUGCCUUGCCCACCUCUGCGGCCCUCCUUUUUCCUACUUGAACCUGUCACCUCCUUUAACUCGCAAUCUUCUUCAACUAAAAGUAUAUAUCGUUCAUUAUUUACACAUGCUAACUCCAUAUUCCCACAAAGCUUCCCCAAAUGAUGACUCAAAAAACUCUCAUGGCCCCAUGGCAAAUGCUCAUACUCUCUUUUAAUAAAUGCUGAUAUUUCCUCCUUGGUGGACCCCUCUUCAUUAUUCAACUCUGAAAUUGCCCUUUGGAUCAUCUUUAGAAUGGAAAAAUAAAAAACAGAAAGCCAAUUGAGAACAUUUAACAAACACAAAGAUGAUAUCUAACAUACAGAAACACAAUAACUCCGAAAUGACUUUUAAGGCAAAUAGAAAGCAAUUUUCACUUUUAGGCUUAAAAAUUAAGCAGCGGCCGAAAUACUAUCCAAAAUGAGCUUCUUCAUCGAUUUGCUCAUCAGAAUAUCGAAAGACAAGCAAGAUAUGUACUUCAAACAGCAACGCAUUUAAUCAAAAGAAAGCGAAACAAUACAAGAUGCUGGUUACUCACAGAAGAAUAAGGUGGGUGAGACGGAGUGUCGAAACUGGGGAAGAAUUCAUGCAGCCGUCGUUCAAUGUGGGUCUUGAGUUGAGGCGCAAUGUUUCCCGACGGGCUUAUUUUGGAAAACACACGAGCUUUCAGAUUGUUCAUUAUAGGCUCGUAUCUAUCAUCUUCGUAUCUAUCAUCUGUAAGAAGAUUGUUGGGAUUUUGAGAGGAGCAGGGGACAGCGUUAGGUUCUUCCAUCUUUGGAUUUUGAGUAUGAUUUUCUCUGGUGAAACUGAUUGCUAUUGUGGAAAACCCGCUAGCAGUGGCCGCUGAGACGCCCGAGCCUAACCUUAAACUUUAUGAGUUGUGACGGUUUCGUUAGGGUGGGGUCUCUUCAUAAUCCUCUUAUGUGCUAUUCCUACUUUGUCAACAAUUCAUAUAAUCGGGUCCUGGCGAGGAGGGACGUAACCGUUAGUUUUGUUCCCAAAAUUAAACUAUUUAAAUUUGAAUUCAAUUUAUAUCAGUAUAUUUGAAUUUGUCUCAAUCUUAUUAAAAAUUAGUUUAAAAUAUUUAAAUUCAUUCUAAAAUUUUAAAUUAUUAUUAUUUAAAUAAAAUUUAAAUUUAUUUAAAUUUAUAUAUUUUAAUUAAUAAUUUAUAUAAAAAAUAUUUUUCAUUAAUAAUUUUUAUUUAAAAAUUUAAUAUCUUUAACAAAUAUUUAAAUUUAAAUUUUUAAAUGAAAAAAUAUAAAAAAUUAUAAAUAUUAUUAUAAAAUAUAUUUUUUACAUUAAAUUAAUUAUUUAUAUAAAUAAAUUCAAAUAUGAGUUAUACAUAAAAUUUAAAUUCGAUCCGAAUUCAUAAUAAUUAUUAUUUUUUUAAAUCCAAACUUAUAUCGAACUUAAUUAUAAUCGUUAAAAUUCAUUCUAUUAAAAUUUCGAUCUGUUAUCCGGGAAUAAUGUACUAAGCACCCAAUUUAAUAUGUUAAAUAAAUAUUUAUUUUUAUAUUUAAACCAGAGAAAUUAUAUUAUAUGACAGUGAUAUUUAUUUAUAUAUAAUCAUAUAUUUAUAAUAAUUAAUAUUUUAUUUAAAUAUGUUACAUUUUAUUUAAUCUUUUUAAUUUAAAAGAAAAGAAAAAAUAUAUUAAUUAACAGUAAACAUAUAAUUAAAUAAUAUUAGUAAAAUAAAAAUAAAAAUUUCUCUAAUUAUUAUUAUUAUAAAUUUAAUAUUAUCAAUUUAUUUCACCAAUAUAAUUAUAUUAGUUAUUCACUUAAAAUUUUAUUUCUCUAAUUUUCUAGAAAGAGUCCUUUUUUAUGAGAAUUUCUUUUUCAAUUUCCUUAUCACUUUCGUAUAGUACUAUUAUUCCUAAAUAAAGCAGAAUUUUUAAUGCUCCACGUAUCUUGAAAUUUUCCUAAAAAAUAUUUUAAUUAAAUUUAUUAUUUUAUGUAAUCUAAUUAAAUAGAAUUUAUGUGGUUUUGCAAGUGAAUAUUAGUUUAUAUUUAUUAUAUAUAUAUAUAUAGAUAGUUAACUUCAUAUUAUUAUUUAAUUUAUGAAAUUUUUUUUAAAUGAGAUUAGAAAUUGAAAGAAUAAAACCCGAGAUCUCUCAAAUUUAAUCGAAUAUACUUACUAUAGGGCUAAUCUGUGCUAUGAAAAAUUAUUAUAUGUUUAUACCAUGACAUAAUUUUUUUUUUGGAAAGAUAUUUGAAGAGGAGGAUGAUUUCCGUAUAUAUUUUGUAGAGGAUUAUGUUAGAAGGCUGAAUUUAUUAAAAAAACAAAUAUGAAAAAUUAUUUAUAAGAAGUACUAAUAAUAAAAGCACAAAAAGAGAAAACUAUAAUUCGUUAAAUUAUAUAUAAAAAUUUUAAUACAAUUUUUAAAAUAUAAAAAAUCACUCAUUUAAAAAAUAAAUCAUUUUUCUUAAAAUAAUUUAAGUUUUUAUUUACUUAUUAAAAUAUUUUAUCAAUUAAUUUUUGUCCAAAAUAUUUUUUGAAACACAAAUUAAGCCUUAAUUGCUUUUUAAACUAACAACGUUCAUUGCUCAAGAAAAGAAAAGAGCAUCCAAAAUAUCUAACCUUUUUAGAUGUUAAGGCCUGAAGGUUCUCACAACUUCCUCAUAGGCUGGCCUCUUGUAGUCCACUGCCUGCAAUCAAUUACAUAGACCAUCUUGAGCUUUUUGACGCACCAUACCUGCUCAACAACUUCUUCAGGGCUCGCCCACUUCCAUUCUGCAAAUUCUGGAUCUCCUUCACUAUUUGCCAGUUUAAUCUCACUCUCAUCUUUUGUCAAUCUCAUGAGGAACCUGUCAAUUGCGCAGAGAACUCAUUUUCACCCCUCAAAUUAUAUGCUGGAAGUGACAGUAUAUAAUAAAUCAUAUUUUCCUUUUUAUUUCCAUUUUCUUCCCUUUCUAAAACAGAAAAACUGAUUUUUCUGCAACAAAUUAUUGGUGUGCUAGUUGCAUUUGUGCUAAUUUAAUGUUGGCCAAACACUAUAUAAACGGAUGAAGCAAUUAGUUUAGAGCUAAAAGGCUGCAGAGGGAACCACUGUGAAUCCCGAAUUGGAUUAGACUUUAAACAUACCAGAAGAAAUCCUCAAAUAUUAAUAUGUUACAUGUCACUUGGACAUCCGUCUUCUUGGGAUUACUUACAUAAUUCCAUGCAAAAUCAACUGUUAGCUCAAUUGGCCUGCUUGCCUAGUGGAAGUGGAUUUGUUAGCAUAUAUGCUCUACACGGCUUUUAAUAGAUUGAUAGCUCAUUUUGCCUAGUUUCUUGACUCAGUUAAUGGACUUGAUUAAACUUCAAACCACUGACCCAUAAUCAUAAAUUUAUCUAUUUCCUUCGCUAUCAACUGAAUUCAACAGCUAGUUCUACCAUAAUUUGGUCUGCAGCAAAAUUCUGGUGGCGUUAAAAAGAAAAAUUCCAUUUAAUAGUGUAAUCAGCCAGUCCCAGGUGGUUAAGCACACACAGGUGUGCAUAUCUGUCAUAUUUAUGUGCACCUUCUAGUAGUAUUCUAAGGGGUCAGAUUAGGAUCACAAGAGUGGGAUGAAAAGAAUAACACUGAAGGCAGAUCUUAAGUCUUUAAGACCAAUGUUGCAUUCAAGGCUAUGGAGUAGAUGGUCAGUUGGUCACAUUGCAUAAUAUACAUGUAAUUAAACUAUGUUAAAAAAAAUGUGAAAUACUUUCAUGGAAUCAAUAUAUGCUUGUAGUGUACGUGUGUGUGGCAGAGACGCACCACUUCUGUGCCUGCCCAUGCCAUUCACCUCCCUACAAACGAUUCACUUUGGCCUUCACAGCAGGUGGAAAGUCACAAGUCAACCAACUUGGUACCUGUCAUGCACAGCCAAUGGAAUACCAAAUGAACACUGCCAAUCCAAUGUUAGAUCUUAUAAGACUUAAAUUACUCAAGGAAUUGUUAUAUUUCCAGCACUCUCAUCAAUCAUCAUUCAUUCCUUAGGAAGAAUCAUUUUUGGACCUCAGCAAUAAUUUCAGCAGACACUAUCCCAGUUUCUUCUCGUAAUUCCCUGAUGGCUGCAGAUCUAGGCUCCUCAUUGACUUCAAUACCCCCCUAAGAAGCAAUCACAAAUAUGGACUAGCUUAGGUCUAAUGAACUCUUCUUUGAUAGAACGAGAGCUUGAUGUAAGAAAUAACCUUAGCUUCAAUUUCUAUGAUAAAUGAUAUAUGAACUCAUCGUCCAAAAUUUAAAUGGAAAGGUGGUCUAAUGAAUCCCAAUGACAGAUUUUUUUUUUUAUUGAAUGACUCAAAGAGUUAAAGCAAACCCACUUAUGGAUCAGAAAUCCAAAAGUUCACCAUUAUAACUAAGUUCUGUACCCAUAAUUUCUAUAAAUUCACAUGAAAUAGAACAAAAGCAUAGAAGAAGAAGAAAAAUAUCUAUUAUCACUUCAACUAAACUCCAUGAGGCCACAAUGGUCACAACAUGACUUGGGAUCCUAUGAAAAUAAAGAUGGUGCAGAAUACAUCUAUGGAAGAUCAUAUGGAAAGACUUCCAAGAUACUUGAUUCCCAUAAUCUGUCUAUGUGAGAUGUGUUUCACAGGAAAGUGCGCUAUUUCAUUAACAAAAAGGGUUUUCUUCGCUAAGGGAGGAAGGCCUUGAAUCGAGAACAACUAAGAGAGUUAGGAAUUAAAACAAAUGAACAGUUUGAUCUGUCAGACAAAUCAUCGAGAUGCAUGCCAUAGGUAUUGUUCAAUAGAGGAAGCAUAUAUGCAUAAUCCACUGUGCAACAAUGGUGGAGGACUAAGUUAACCUUAACAUAAAUGGUUAUGAAUUGAAUUAUCUUUCUGCAUUUCUAAGCAAUUAAAUUUUGGAACAAGUUCAACGAAGAAAAAUAAUAUACAAUACGGCACUACCUGAGGCAUCUGCCAUACUCCUGGAACAUUUAAUCUAGAAGCCACAAAAAUCUGCAAGUAUAUUAUGGACUGUUAUCAUUUUUCUUUCAUAGAAUGUGCAAAACCUAAAUGAAUAAAAAAGAAUAAGGCUUAUAAGGCUUAAAUUACUCAAGGAAUACCAAAUGAACACUGCCAAUCCAAUGUUAGAUUUUAUAAGCCUUAAAUUACUCAGGAAUUGUUAUAUUUCCAGCACUCUCAUCAAUCAUCAUUCAUUCCUUAGGAAGAAUCAUUUUUGGACCUCAGCAAUAAUUUCAGCAGACACUAUCCCAGUUUCUUCUCGUAAUUCCCUGAUGGCUGCAGAUCUACCCUACUCAUUGUCUUCAAUACCCCCCUAAGAAGCAAUCACAAAUAUGGACUAGCUUAGGUCUAAUGAACUCUUCUUUGAUAGAACGAGAGCUUGUUGUAAGAAAUAACCUUAGCUUCAAUUUCUAUGAUAAAUGAUAUAUGAACUCAUUGUCCAAAAUCUAAAUGGGAAAGGUGGUCUAAUGAAUCCCAUGACAGUUUUUUUUUUUAUCGAAUGACUCAGAGUUAAAGCAAACCCACUUAUGGAUCAGAAAUCCAAAAGCUCACCAUUAUAACUAAGUUCUAUACCCAUAAUUUCUAUAAAUUCACAUGAAAUAGAACAAAAGCUAAUUUUAAAAUUGAAUAGUCCAUAACUGCCAUCUUAGGUGCAUGAUUCUAGACAUUAAUAGCAGUCUGUUUUCCUUUUAGGAGGCCUGCCUCUUCUUUUACUCUGCUGUUGCUGCUGCUCAUUGUAAUCCUGAUCACUGGAUGGUAACAAACUAUUCCUAAUCAUAUCAGUAUAAGACUUUAGUUUACGGGGUCUCCCUCUGCCUCGAGGCUUAGAUGAUGGCUGUUGCUCAUCCUGAUGAUGCUGAGGAUCUUUGUUCACAGGUGCUUUUGGUUUAGGAGAUCUUUCCAUGUUAGAAAGGUCAAGCUGCUGCUCUGGACCUUUGUGCCAUUCAAGAAAAGCAGGUGAUUCAACAGAAUGUAAUUUGGCUUCCAUUUGUUCAUUAGAGAGAAUCCGUGGUUGAGGAUGCUGCUCUGACAAUAGAUCACAAAUAAGUUCCUUCU